AUUGUUUGUUAUGCUGGAAAUUCAGGACCAUCUAAGGCAAGGUCUCAAAUGCAGCACCAUGGAUGAUAAUUGUGGGAGCUAGCACAAUUGAUAGGCUUUUUACCACUUACAUGGCAUUGGGAGACAAAAGGCACUUUAAGGGUGAACGUCUUUCUAGUAAAAUAUUGCCAGCUAAGAAGUUCUAUC